rnacentral:tRNA from 1 species
GCUGGUGUAGCUCAAUUUGGCAGAGCAACCGCCUUGUAAGCGGUAGGUUGCAGGUUCAAUUCCUGUCACCAGCCCCA